GAUGAACGCUGGCGGCGUGCUUAACACAUGCAAGUCGAACGGGAAGGCCCAGCUUGCUUGGUGGACUAGUGGGGAACGCGUGAGUAACACCCGUGUGAACUGCCCCUAACUCUGGGAUAAGCCUCGAAUACUCGGUCGACUACCGGGUAAAAGCGUCCAUCCCCCGGUGGGGGUUGUAGAGAUUUAUCGGUUUUGGGUGGAGUCGCGGCCUUUCAGAGUGUUGGUGGGGUAGUGGGUCCCAAAGGGGGCGACGGGUAGCCGGCGUGAGAGGGUGACCCGCCACACUGGGACUGAGACACGGCCCAGACGCCUACGGGAGGCAGCAGUGGGGAAUAUUGCACAAUGGGCGGAAGCCUGAUGCAGCAACGCCGCGUGAGGGAUGACGGCCUUCGGGUUGUAAACCUCUUUCGGUAGGGAAGAAGAGGAAGUGACGGUACCUGGAGAAGAAGCACCGGCUAACUACGUG
rnacentral:rRNA from 1 species